GAACAGCGGUCUUUUUUUUUUUGCAGACAUGAGAAGGAAAGGAGGUCCGCUUUCGUUUAUGGCAAUAGUUGCUUGCGUUUAUGGAACUUGGAAUGGAGCCAGUUGUUGGCUAGCUAGCCUUGCUCCGGCCAAACGCUGCGGCGGUUAGUUUCUUUCCGCAUUGAAGUAGCUAUUUAACGUUACCAAGUGAACAGAUCGGUAGAAUUGAGUUUUAGUCGUCAGGUAAGACAAAUGGCUAAAGCAUUAAGUGGUUGUGCCACCAUUCAGGUCUUCAGACAUGGGAGGGCUGCAAAUGGGAAUGACACGAUCCCCCUUCAAGCAUGCGGACUGAAUGAAUUGCAUCAGAUCUUCAGGAAAGCAUGUGCCGUCAACUCCAUUGAAGGUGAUUCAACUCUAGUCAAUGCGUUUUGAAGACUAAGCAUGGAUCUGCUGGGACUGGAUUGAUGGUUAAAUGGAAAGGGUAUUAAAGGAAAAACACGAUUUGGUGGACUGCUUGCAUUUCAGCAGGAAAUUAUCCAGGAAUACAUGUGUGUUUGACAUUCAAUUGAGUUGAAGCAUAGACAUGCAGAUUGUAUGGAAUGCGACAACUCCAUUGAAGGAUUGUUUCUUUCUGGACUUGGGUGGGGAACUGAAUGUUACAUCCUGCAGAUUCACGAAACUCCAGGCCAGGCUGUUUGGCUCAGCCGCCACCAGCUGUGUUCACAUGGCCCUUUGAUACAUCUAACCCUGGAGUGUCACUGCAUAAUCCUCUUGUCUUGCAAUGUCAGUGGUUUCUGAACAAAUGUACCACAUAAUGAAUUGAAUGUAUGGUCCCAACUGCAUAGACAGUGGAACAGUGUCAAGCGGUGAACAAUAAAAUGGACUUUUGUAAAUG